rnacentral:rRNA from 1 species
UACAGAGGGUGCGAGCGUUGUCCGGAAUCACUGGGCGUAAAGGGCGCGUAGGCGGCUUGAUAAGCGUGCGGUGAAAGCCCGGGGCUCAACCCCGGGUCGGCCGUGCGAACUGUCGAGCUGGAGCACUGUAGAGGCAGGUGGAAUUCCGGGUGUAGCGGUGGAAUGCGUAGAGAUCCGGAAGAACACCGGUGGCGAAGGCGGCCUGCUGGGAUACACCUGACGCUGAGACACGAAGGCGUGGGGAGCGAACGGG